CAUCUUGUGAGCAUCUGGGCCAAGUUCAGGGCUGGUGCUCUCGUUCAGAUAGAUUUAGCUGGUGGUGCAGAGAUCCGUGAGCUUGCUUUUACAGGACUUUAAUGAUAUAUAAAAGCAGCACGAGGUGCUCCUGACUGUGGAUUAAUUUGGAGAUGACUUUCUCUGUUGAAGAGUAGCAAGACUCUCGCGAGUUCUUAAAAAUGCACUUGUUUGGUAUGAGAAUGAAAAGCAGUGGCUGAAGAACCAAUCUUCAAUGGGCAAGCCUUCUCUGUGUCUGUUCUAACACGUGCCAUUUGGGAUCCCUUGGAAUCUUCAUGUACAGAACUGGUUGCUGCCUCGUUGAGUCGGUGGGGACAGAAUAGCUCCUGGUUGACAGCAUGGGUUGUGCAGAAGGACGGAUCCUGCAGACAUCAAUAUCUGGCUUUGAGUGGCACAAAGAAAUAAAGGAAUGUGGAUUCAGACCUCACUGGGAUGCUUGGCAAUUCUAAUUCUACCCCAGACUGCAAAUGGACACACAACUGUUGUGACUUUUGUUGAAGAGGAGAAGGAUGGACUUGCCCUGAAUUCUUUCAUGUGCAAUAUCCGAAAACCCUCUCUUGGGGCCUGGAUCAGGACCCCUUUCCUAUAACAUCUUUCUGGCGACAACAAAGGGACAAUGGUGUGGAAUCCCCCUUCCCAAAUGCUACUUUUAGAUAUCACCUUUUGUCGGAACUUGGAGUUGGUAAUGACCUUCACCAUACCACCACUCUGGGACUGAGCUUCUCUCUACCCUGAUGCAAGAGACCCUAAUAGGCAGGAAUAUGACCACCCCUAUUCAGCCUGAAGAAGUUACAGAAGUUCUGAAACCCUUAGAAAUGAGGGUCUUCUUGUAAAGGGAGUGGGGAGAUAUAUCAGAGGCAUUUGAACCAGAGCAACUCCAUCUUGAGUGAGGGCUAGGAAAAUGAGGCUAGGACUUGCUGGGCUGCAUUCUCAGAAAGUCAGUCAUUCCUAGCCUCUAGAUGUUUACGGUUAAGGGAACAAAUUUAUAACAUUUACUAAACACACCCAGACUUGGGAGUGUCCAGAUAUCCCAAUAUCUGGAGAACAAAGGCAUUCCUAAUUUUGCUUUAAAGACAAUAAUAUUGAUUCUUGCAAAAUAUAGUAAUUAAGAAAAUUAAUCCUUUAUCACAAACCCUUGUAGUAAAACACAUCUCCCCAUAUAUACAAGCAUUGUACCUAAGGUGGAUGCGUUCCAUCUCUUACUUUCAGGAAUGUCCUACACUAUCUAAGGAGUAGCUGUACUUUCACCACUUUACUUUCUUAAUAAACUUGUUU
rnacentral:lncRNA from 10 species